rnacentral:tRNA from 1 species
AGGGAUGUAGCUCAGUGGUAGAGUACUUGCCUAGGGUGCAAAUAGUCCUGAGUUCAAUUCCCACCAUCACAC